AAUGCAAAAGCCUGGGCCUCCCAUGCUCAGCAGCUGACAUGCUGAGUGGUGUGCUGCAGCAAACCAUCACUGAUGGGAGAGAGUGAGGGGCAGCAAUCGGCUGGCAUACAGUACUGUACCUCAAUCAGACCUAAGUUUGAAGGGGGAAAAAAGAAGAUAUAGAGAGGAAGAGCGAGAGAGAAGGAGUAUUUGCAGGAUAUAAGGGAGAAAUAAAGAGAGAAACAAAGAGAAAGCUUGGAAAAUAACAAGAGGGCAGAAAGGAAGAGAAGGAUAGGGGAGGAAAACAUGAGGGAACCCACAUUCGGCGACAGACUGAGACGCUACAACUCCACACCAAGUCUUUGGUAAGUGUCCUGAUCUUGUGGCAUGUAGGACAUCUCAUCCUUGUUUUUAAACUCCAGACUAAGGAUGGAGGGUGGAAGAAGCAGACCUAAGAUGACCUGAUUGAUGAGGGAAAAGUAAAAAAAAGAACGUCAAGUCUUUGCAACCUCAGAAUUAUUUUUCAGCUAUGGACUGUACUGUGUUAAACAGACGGCCUGUUUAGCAUAAUCCAUCCUUUAAUCUAUUACGCUGAAAAAAAAAAUGCAAC